rnacentral:rRNA from 1 species
UACGAACUGUGCAAACGUUAUUCGGAAUCACUGGGCUUACAGGGUGCGUAGGCGGCUUGUUAAGUAGGGUGUGAAAGCCCCCGGCUCAACCGGGGAAUUGCGCCCUAAACUGGCGAGCUGGAGUGAGAUAGGGGUGUGUGGAACUUCCGGUGGAGCGGUGAAAUGUGUUGAUAUCGGAAGGAGCGCCGGUAGCGAAAGCGACACACUGGGUCUUGACUGACGCUGAGGCACGAAAGCCAGGGGAGCGAACGGG